rnacentral:rRNA from 1 species
AGUGAACGCUGGCGGUAGGCCUAACACAUGCAAGUCGAACGGCAGCACAGUAAGAGCUUGCUCUUACGGGUGGCGAGUGGCGGAUGGGUGAGGAAUACAUCGGAAUCUACUUUUUCGUGGGGGAUAACGUAGGGAAACUUACGCUAAUACCGCAUACGACCUACGGGUGAAAGCAGGGGAUCUUCGGACCUUGCGCGAUUGAAUGAGCCGAUGUCGGAUUAGCUAGUUGGCGGGGUAAAGGCCCACCAAGGCGACGAUCCGUAGCUGGUCUGAGAGGAUGAUCAGCCACACUGGAACUGAGACAUGGUCCAGACUCCUACGGGAGGCAGCAGUGGGGAAUAUUGGACAAUGGGCGCAAGCCUGAUCCGGCCAUACCGCGUGGGUGAAGAAGGCCUUCGGGUUGUAAAGCCCUUUUGUUGGGAAAGAAAAGCAGCAGGUUAAUACCCCGCUGUUCUGACGGUACCCAAAGAAUAAGCACCGGCUAACUUCGUG